AACGAACGCUGGCGGCAUGCCUAAUACAUGCAAGUCGAACGAGACCUUCGGGUCUAGUGGCGCACGGGUGCGUAACGCGUGGGAACCUGCCCUUAGGUUCGGAAUAACUCCCCGAAGGGGGUGCUAAUACCGGAUAAUGUCUUCGGACCAAAGAUUUAUCGCCUUUGGAUGGGCCCGCGUUGGAUUAGCUAGUUGGUAGGGUAAAAGCCUACCAAGGCGACGAUCCAUAGCUGGUCUGAGAGGAUGAUCAGCCACACUGGGACUGAGACACGGCCCAGACUCCUACGGGAGGCAGCAGUGGGGAAUAUUGGACAAUGGGCGAAAGCCUGAUCCAGCAAUGCCGCGUGAGUGAUGAAGGCCUUAGGGUUGUAAAGCUCUUUUACCCGGGAUGAUAAUGACAGUACCGGGAGAAUAAGCGCCGGCUAACUCCGUG
rnacentral:rRNA from 1 species